CCUUACCUGGACUCGAAAUGUAGCUGCCCGCCUCAGAGAUGAGGCUUUCCCGUAAGGGACGGCUGCAUAGGUGCUGCAUGGCUGUCGUCAGCUCGUGUCGUGAGAUGUUGGGUUAAGUCCCGCAACGAGCGCAACCCUCAUCCUUAGUUGCUCAGUUGCCGCAAGGUGACAAGCACCCUAAGGGAACCGCCUCGGAUAACGGGGAGGAAGGUGGGGAUGACGUCAAGUCCUCACGGCCUUUAUGCCCAGGGCUACACACGUGCUACAAUGGCCGGUACAAAGCGUCGCGAACCCGCGAGGGGGAGCCAAUCGCAAAAAACCGGUCUCAGUUCGGAUUGCAGUCUGCAACUCGACUGCAUGAAGCUGGAAUCGCUAGUAAUCGCGUAUCAGAACGACGCGGCGAAUACGUUCCCGGGCCUUGUACACACCGCCCGUCACAUCACGAAAGUGGGCUGUACUAGAAGUCGUAAUUCCAACCCCGCGCAAGCGGGGGGGAUAACGCCCAAGGUAUGACCCAUGAUUGGGGUG
rnacentral:rRNA from 1 species